UUAAAGGUACCCGUACCGCAAACCGACACAGGUGGGUGAGGAGAGUAUCCUAAGGCCCGCGAGAGAACUGUUGUUAAGGAACUCGGCAAAAGGACCCCGUAACUUAGGGAUAAGGGGUGCCACCAUCUGGUGGCCGCAGAGAAUAGGCCCAAGCGACUGUUUACCAAAAACAUAGGUUGCUGCUAAGUCGCAAGACGAUGUAUAGGAGCUGACGCCUGCCCGGUGCUGGAAGGUUAAGGGGAUCUGUUAGAGCAA
rnacentral:rRNA from 1 species